rnacentral:sRNA from 1 species
CGACCCGGGUUCGAUUCCCGGGCAGUGCACCA